rnacentral:tRNA from 1 species
ACGCUGUAGUCCUGUAAACAUAGGUUUAAAUCCUGUCUCUAUCA